GCUGAAAAAGGGCUUCCAGCUGAAUCAAGUUAAAGGUAUGCUAGAGAAAUAGGAGUGUNNNNNNNNNNNNNNNNNNNNUUUUUUUUCUCCUUUUUCCCAAAACAGUCAUGGAGCAAUCGCAUCUCUCUGUUCUUGUUUCAAGCAAGCUGGCAAAUGCUGUUUGAAAUAGCACAGUAUUUCCAGCAUAUGUAGUUGUGAUCAGGCAUGUCAUGGUUGACAAGCUCUUGUAGUCCUCCAGUCACAUCAAUAAUGGUGACCGCCACCUCUCUUUUCCACUCUGGGCCUUCAAAAGCUGUCAUUGAUGGGUUAUCCAGCUUGACAGAUGCAGAACUGAACUGGGCAGUUAUGGUUGCAUGCAAAAGGCUGGAUACCAAAGUGACAAGGGAUACAAACUGUCACAGAGUUCCAUUUCUUGUACACGAUGAAUAAAUAUAUAUAUGUACUGAACUUUCCAUUAAUUGUAAAGCUGAGGAGGCUGAAGAGACAGCUAUAUGCAGCAGACAGCAGGAACAGCAGGACAGAAUUUCCAGCAGAAGCAGAACAGAAAGAAAGAAAGAUCCAACAGUGCUGUGGGGAAAUGCUGAGUUCAAGAAACUGCUGCAGACAUGGAAGCACCACAAUUCUCAGAACUUGCAGAUAUUAGAAACUCAGGGAAUGUUUUGAGAAGAAGCAGUCUGAGAACUGCUGCCUUUCAAGGACAGUGUUAACAGUAUGCAGCACUGAUCAGUUGCCUAUGC
rnacentral:lncRNA from 1 species